GUAUUCAAUAGGACGUUCAGUCUGGUAUUCAAUAGGACGUUCAGUUUGGUAUUCAAUAGGACGUUCAGACUGGUAUUCAAUAAGACGUUCAGACUGGUAUUCAAUAAGACGUUCAGACUGGUAUUCAAUAGGACGUUCAGUCUGGUAUUCAAUAGGACGUUCAGUCUGGUAUUCAACAGGGGCGUUCAGUCUGGUAUUCAACAGGACGUUCAGUCUGGUAUUCAAUAGGACGUUCAGUCUUGUAUUCAAUAGGACGUUCAGUCUGGUAUUCAAUAGGACGUUCAGUUUGGUAUUCAAUAGGACGUUCAGACUGGUAUUCAAUAAGACGUUCAGACUGGUAUUCAAUAGGACGUUCAGUCUUGUAUUCAAUAGGACGUUCAGUCGUGUAUUCAAUAGGACGUUCAGUCUUGUAUUCAAUAGGACGUUCAGUCUGGUAUUCAAUAGGACGUUCAGUCUUGUAUUCAAUAGGACGUUCAGUCUGGUAUUCAAUAGGACGUUCAGACUGGUAUUCAAUAGGACGUUCAGACUGGUAUUCAAUAGGACGUUCAGACUGGUAUUCAAUAAGACGUUCAGUCGUGUAUUCAAUAGGACGUUCAGUCUGGUAUUCAAUAGGACGUUCAGACUGGUAUUCAAUAAGACGUUCAGACUGGUAUUCAAUAAGACGUUCAGUCUGGUAUUCAAUAGGACGUUCAGUCUGGUAUUCAAUAGGACGUUCAGAUUGGUAUUCAAUAGGACGUUCAGUCUUGUAUUCAAUAAGAUGUUCAGUCUUGUAUUCAAUAGGACGUUCAGUCUUGUAUUCAAUAGGACGUUCAGUCUGGUAUUCAAUAGGACGUUCAGUCUUGUAUUCAAUAGGACGUUCAUCAAUGAUGUGUAUAAUAAAACGUUCAGACAUUAUGUUCCACGUCGUGUUCAGUACAGUUCACGUGAUCACCGCACAUCACCUAAAGCGGCACAAUACCUUACUACAGCUGAUACAGGCCUGUAUGCUAAAGGUACGAGGCUGAAUAUACUGUACUAAUGUUAACAUAAACAACCACUGUAUUGUAUAGUUAUCAAGAAUGUUCGUACUAUCUGUCCAAAUAGGAAUGGGACCAAGCACAGAUUGAUUUUGAGUCAAUCACACAGACACCAGUUGCUUUAGAUCAAUAUAUUGAUAUUGUAGAGGCAUACAGAAGUUAGUAAGGAGAAGAUAUAUGGAUUUACAACUUCUAUAUUUUCGAUGAGGAGCGACGCUUCUAACACCGUCUCAAGCACGCAGUUCCUCAUUGUAAACACAGAAGUUGUCCACCCCUGUACUUUAUCCUUACCGAGUAUGGUGGGACUGAAGUGGCCACUGUAGUCAUGUUUCAAUGCCAGGAGAGUGUAGGUGAAAAAGUAAUGUGUUUAUUUGUUAACAACGGUAUA